CUUCACCGACCCCAGCAGCAGCGGCCGGUCCUCGGGCCGCUCCUGGCCGUACGUGGCCAGGAGUGCCUGCGCCUC
rnacentral:antisense_RNA from 1 species